AGUGGAAUAACUGGGUCAAAUGGUGGUUCUAUCCCAAGUUUUCUAAGAAACCUCCAUGCUGCUUUUUAAAGUGGUUAUACCAAUUUGCAUUCCCACCAAUAAU
rnacentral:pre_miRNA from 1 species